GUGAACGCUGGCGGUAGGCCUAACACCUGCAAGUCGCACGGCAGCACAGUAAGAGCUUGCUCUUACGGGUGGCGAGUGGCGGACGGGUGAGGAAUACAUCGGAAUCUACUUUUUCGUGGGGGAUAACGUAGGGAAACUUACGCUAAUACCGCAUACGACCUACGGGUGAAAGCAGGGGAUCUUCGGACCUUGCGCGAUUGAAUGAGCCGAUGUCGGAUUAGCUAGUUGGCGGGGUAAAGGCCCACCAAGGCGACGAUCCGUAGCUGGUCUGAGAGGAUGAUCAGCCACACUGGAACUGAGACACGGUCCAGACUCCUACGGGAGGCAGCAGUGGGGAAUAUUGGACAAUGGGCGCAAGCCUGAUCCAGCCAUACCGCGUGGGUGAAGAAGGCCUUCGGGUUGUAAAGCCCUUUUGUUGGGAAAGAAAAGCAGCAGGUUAAUACCCCGCUGUUCUGACGGGACCCAAAGAAUAAGCACCGGCUAACUUCGU
rnacentral:rRNA from 1 species